CUUGAUCCUUCGGGUGAUGGUGGCGGACGGGUGAGUAACGCGUAAAGACUUGCCCUGCAGUCUGGGACAACAUUUGGAAACGAAUGCUAAUACCGGAUAUUUUCGCAUGAAGAAAGCUAUAUGCGCUGCGAGAGAGCUUUGCGUCCCAUUAGUUAGUUGGUGAGGUAACGGCUCACCAAGACGAUGAUGGAUAGCCGGCCUGAGAGGGUGAACGGCCACAAGGGGACUGAGACACGGCCCCUACUCCUACGGGAGGCAGCAGUGGGGAAUAUUGGACAAUGGACCAAAGUCUGAUCCAGCAAUUCUGUGUGCACGAUGAAGUUUUUCGGAAUGUAAAGUGCUUUCAGUUGGGAAGAAGAAAGUGACGGUACCAACAGAAGAAGCGACGGCUAAAUACGUGCCAGCAGCCGCGGUAAUACGUAUGUCGCAAGCGUUAUCCGGAUUUAUUGGGCG
rnacentral:rRNA from 1 species